rnacentral:rRNA from 1 species
AUUGAACGCUGGCGGCAGGCCUAACACAUGCAAGUCGAACGAGUGGCGGACGGGUGAGUAAUGUCUGGGAAACUGCCCGAUGGAGGGGGAUAACUACUGGAAACGGUAGCUAAUACCGCAUACCAUCGGAUGUGCCCAGAUGGGAUUCGCUAGUAGGUGGGGUAACGGCUCACCUAGGCGACGAUCCCUAGCUGGUCUGAGGGGAUGACCGGCCAUAGUGGAGCGGAGACACGGUGCAGAGUCCUACGGGAGGAAGCAGUGGCGAAAAUUGACCAAUGGGCGCAAGCCUGAGGCAGCCAUGCCGCGUGUAUGAAGAAGGCCUUCGGGUUGUAAAGUACUUUCAGCGAGGAGGCGUUACUCGCAGAAGAAGCACCGGCUAACUCCGUGCCAGCAGCCGCGGUAAUUC